rnacentral:rRNA from 1 species
GACGAACGCUGGCGGCGUGCCUAAUACAUGCAAGUUGAGCGCUGAAGGUUGGUACUUGUACCGACUGGAUGAGCAGCGAACGGGUGAGUAACGCGUGGGGAAUCUGCCUUUGAGCGGGGGACAACAUUUGGAAACGAAUGCUAAUACCGCAUAAAAACUUUAAACACAAGUUUUAAGUUUGAAAGAUGCAAUUGCAUCACUCAAAGAUGAUCCCGCGUUGUAUUAGCUAGUUGGUGAGGUAAAGGCUCACCAAGGCGAUGAUACAUAGCCGACCUGAGAGGGUGAUGGGCCACAUUGGGACUGAGACACGGACCAAACUCCUACGGGAGGCAGCAGUAGGGAAGCUUCGGCAAGAGACGAAAGUCUGACCGAGCAACGCCGCGUGAGUGAAGAAGGGUGUCGGAUCGUAAAACUCUGUUGGUAGAGAAGAACGUUGGUGAGAGUGGAAAGCUCAUCAAGUGACGGUAACUACCCAGAAAGGGACGGCUAACUACGUG